CUCCUUCUCUGCUUCCUGUCCUGAUGUCUUAUGGAGUUUUCCUGCGACUAAUACUAACAGGAUUUGUGUGGGUUUGGCUAAAAAGAAAAAACAACAAGCUCCUAAAGAAACUUGAGGAAGUGACUUUCACUGAGGUGACAAUUACAGCUCACAGUGCAGAGAGGGUUAAAAAGGAAGAAAAGUCCAGAAUAACAGAUGGUCAAGAGCUGAAUACCUUCGUGAUGUACUCAGCUGUGGAGACACUGACAUAAUUCAGUACAUACUUAUUUAUCAAAAAGAACUUUACAUGAUAAUUAAUCAAUUUCUUUUAUAGG